GGGGGCGCCAAGGUUUCGACGGGAUGGUUGAAGCUAUGGUUGCGCGUCGAGGACCCCGGUUGGCCUCGUUAAUCACCCGGGAAAAACAUUAAGUGCUGACUCUCAGUUAGCUCUCGCGGCUUAGAUACCGCGACGUUCCGCCGCUGAUACCUGUUAGGUGGGCCGGGGCGACGACAGCAGGCUGGUCCGUAACCCGUGCGCUCGGGGUGAAGGACGAGAACUAACAGAACGCUGGUUUGCAUGGUGGCCCUGUUUGCCGGCAGUCAUGCGAACGAGAAUUAAAGGCGAAAUACACGCGUAGAAGCUAUAGUGACUCUGUUUCGGACGGGGGUUCGAUUCCCCCCGCCUCCACCA
rnacentral:tmRNA from 1 species